AGCAGCCGCGGUAAUUCCAGCUCCAAUAGCGUAUAUUAAAGUUGUUGCAGUUAAAAGCUCGUAGUUGAAUUUCGGGGUCAGCAGGUCGGUCGUGCCACUGGUAUGUACUGGCUUUGCUGAUUCCUCCCUCUUGACGAACCGUAAUGCCAUUAAUUUGGUGUUGCGGGAAAUCAGGACUGUUACUUUGAAAAAUUAGAGUGUUUAAAGCAGGCUUACGCUUGAAUACAUUAGCAUGGAAUAAUGAAAUAGGACGUUCGAUCCUAUUUUGUUGGUUUCUAGGAUUGACGUAAUGAUUAAUAGGGAUAGUUGGGGGCAUUAGUAUUCAAUUGUCAGAGGUGAAAUUCUUGGAUUUAUUGAAGACUAACUACUGCGAAAGCAUUUGCCAAGGAUGUUUUCAUUAAUCAAGAACGAAAGUUAGGGGAUCGAAGACGAUCAGAUACCGUCGUAGUC
rnacentral:rRNA from 1 species